AUUUCUAUCAUCCUUUCUAAUAUUCUUCUUAAUUUCUUUAAUUAUUUUAGGAUCUUCUAUACUACGUUUUUCUAGUGCGUUCCUAAGUUUUAUGUUCUCUAAUUUCAACGAAUCACAAGAUGAACAAUUAGAAUUUUGAUCAAUUGAAGAAGUUUCAUUCAUCUCCUUAAUUUUAUUUCUAAGAUCAAUAUUGUCAUUUUCCAAAAAUUUAUUUUUCUCUUCUAAAACUUUAAUUUUAGCCUUGUCCUCUUUGGAGAUUUUUGAAGACUUUUUCAAU
rnacentral:lncRNA from 1 species